rnacentral:rRNA from 1 species
CCCUUAGAUGUCCUGGGCCGCACGCGCGUUACACUGAUGCAUUCAACGAGCUUAUAACCUUGGCCGAGAGGCCUGGGCAAUCUUGUUAACGUGCAUCGUGAUAGGGAUAGAUUAUUGAAAUUAUUAAUCUUGAACGAGGAAUUCCUAGUAAACGCAGAUCAUCAAUCUGCAUUGAUUACGUCCCUGCCCUUUGUACACACCGCCCGUCGCACCUACCGAUUGGAUGGUCCGGUGAAGCCUCAGGAUUGUGGUUCUUGCCGCUUUAUUGUGGCGUGACCGCGAGAACUUGUCUAAACCUUAUCAUCUAGAGGAAGGUGAAGUCGUAACA